rnacentral:rRNA from 1 species
GGGUCAAUAAGUUGGUCAUGCCAAUGGUAUGCACUGGCUUUAUUGAUUCCUACCUCUUGACGAACUGUGAUGCCAUUAAUUUGGUGUUGCAAGGAAUCAGGGACUGUUACCUUGAAAAAUUAGAGUGUUUAAAGCAAGCUUACGCUUGAAUACAUUAGCAUGGAAUAAUGAAAUAGGACGUUUGAUCCUAUUUUGUUGGUUUCUAGGAUCGACGUAAUGAUU